rnacentral:rRNA from 1 species
GACCUCGGAUCAGGUAGGGAUACCCCGCUGAACUUAAGCAUAUCAAUA